GGCGAGAUGGCCGAGCGGUCUAAGGCGCUGGUUUAAGGCACCAGUCCCUUCGGGGGCGUGGGUUCGAA
rnacentral:tRNA from 1 species